GCCGCGGCUCAUCCACGGCGACCAGCGCGGCUCACCGGUGGCUGGUCGCCGUCGACCGCCCCAGCCCCCGCCACCGCGCCCUCCACCCUCGACGCGGCUGGCCCACGAGGACCAGCGCGGCUGCUCCCUCCUCACCGACCACGGCCGCCGCGACGACCAGAUGGGAGAAGCUCCAUGCCGGCGUGGUGGUGCGCCACCGAGCCACCCCCCACACGCCCUGCACCUUGAAUCUAGCCGAGGGAGCUGCGUCUCCAGCCAAGACUACCACUGAUAGAUUCACCUCCGGCGAGAAGGGGAGCGCCACCCACCACGCAGCAGCAGCAGCUCCUUCAUCCAUGGCGCGGAAUUGAAUUUCCAUUUCUGACUAGGCUUUCCAUAAACCACCAUUCCCAUUGUUUGUUUGGUUUCCAUAAUAACAGGUCACCUAAAAUUGGACCCCCAACUUCAUCUGGUAGGGUACCUAGGAAUUUCUACCCACUAGUCAAGACUACAAGUGCAGUAAGUCCAACUUCAUCUGCUAGGGUACCUAAGAAUUUUCCUCCAGGAGUAAAGACUACAGGUGAAGUAAGAAGUACAAGAAAGGACCAUGGUUUGCACAAGCGAGUGGUAUUUUGCAAGAGGGCUCAGAUGUCGGCUAUUAUGUUGGGGGAAAGGAUUACUUCUUGCCGUUUAUUUACACACCUUCUCUUAUCGGGCAGUACAAAAAUUGUUGUUAUUAAUACUGUUGUCCACUAACAUUCUAGAGGUUGCUACAUAAAGGAACUUGGAAUCAAUUAUCAUUGUUGCAAUACAGUGAUAAAAUUGCUAUCACUCCCGUUAGAUACAUACCAAUAAAACAACUCAGUCAACUAGUCAUCCUGGAACCUUAGUCUAUUUCAGUGAUACUACUGAACCUAACCAAGAAUUUUGUUAUGCUGUGCGAACAGGUUAGUCCUUCACUAUUAUUCAAAGCAAACCGUGAGUUUGUAGUCUUGUUAUGUAUUCUGUUAGGGCCCUGUUCAAACUAUUAUUUGCUCUGCUAACACUAUUGCAGUUACCACAACAUAUGCAUGCCCAAUGACAUUCUUUCAUGAUUUGUCCGUGUUGAGUGAUGAUGGUGUUUUUUAGCAGCUGCGGAAAUCUCAUUUUGAUAAACUGACAAGUGUGUGUUUCUAUUUGUUCAGUUUGGGAGGGAAUGUGACAUUGGAUGCCUGAAGGAACAUGGAUGUGCUGCGCCGUGUUGCGUGUGGGAUGCAGCAAGAUGGUGGUUCGUGUGAUCCCUCUUCCGUGUCAUGGGCAGCGAAGCCGGCGGGCUACCCUUGGUCGCCAUGAGCAGGGAUAACCAAGGCUUGUGUAUAUCUCUAUCCUGAUGUUCUCUUCAUACUACAGCAGUGCACCCCUGCAAAACUUCUACAGUUUACUUCUAUAAUUAUUAUCUCAUGGAAACAAACACCAUCUUUGUUGACCAAUGCUCAAUGGGAUAUAUAAUUCAAAUGGUCAGAAAACUACAAAAGAAUUACAGAGCCACAACUGGUUUCUUUUCUUGAUCAAUGGAAGUGUGGAUGUCUCCCCUUCCAGAAAAACGUAGGAGCGUAAAUGACCACAUGAGGCGUGCCAACUUCUAAUGGAAGUAAUGCCGGGAAGAGGUGAAUUCCAUGCCAACCGUGCUGUGUGUAUAUGUGAAAAGACUGACUGAGCUUCAGUACUCAAAUCGAAUCCUGGUGGUAACCAGCUCGUUGGUGAACGGAUUUGCGGAUGGAUCUGACACUGAUGAUGACCCCACAGGGACAAGGAAAGAGAUGAUCACUGAAGAUGACACUGCUACAGGAGAGGAAUUCUGAAGAUUAUCCAACCGUGGCACAGGAUAUGAUUCUUUGAUUAGACAAGAGGUUUCUGAGCUGGAGGAGUAGAUCCUGAUUAGUUAGUUGAGUUAUCUUGCACCUCGAAGGAAUUAUUUGCACACAAGUGUUGUACGUGGUAUACCAGCUAUUAAGAGAAUCUCCUCUGUUUUAUGGAUUUCACUGUAAGCAUUAAACUGUAUUUCUUACUACUAGUAUAUUUUACGAACAAUUUGACAUAA